GAUGAACGCUGGCGGCGUGCCUAAUACAUGCAAGUCGAGCGAACGGACGAGAAGCUUGCUUCUCUGAUGUUAGCGGCGGACGGGUGAGUAACACGUGGAUAACCUACCUAUAAGACUGGGAUAACUUCGGGAAACCGUAGCUAAUACCGGAUAAUAUUUUGAACCGCAUGGUUCAAAAGUGAAAGACGGUCUUGCUGUCACUUAUAGAUGGAUCCGCGCUGCAUUAGCUAGUUGGUAAGGUAACGGCUUACCAAGGCAACGAUGCAUAGCCGACCUGAGAGGGUGAUCGGCCACACUGGAACUGAGACACGGUCCAGACUCCUACGGGAGGCAGCAGUAGGGAAUCUUCCGCAAAGGGUGAAAGCCUGACGGAGCAACGCCGCGUGAGUGAUGAAGGUCUUCGGAUCGUAAAACUCUGUUAUUAGGGAAGAACAUAUGUGUAAGUAACUGUGCACAUCUUGACGGUACCUAAUCAGAAAGCCACGGCUAACUACGUG
rnacentral:rRNA from 1 species